rnacentral:rRNA from 1 species
UACGUAGGGGGCAAGCGUUAUCCGGAUUUACUGGGUGUAAAGGGAGCGUAGACGGUGUGGCAAGUCUGAUGUGAAAGGCAUGGGCUCAACCUGUGGACUGCAUUGGAAACUGUCAUACUUGAGUGCCGGAGGGGUAAGCGGAAUUCCUAGUGUAGCGGUGAAAUGCGUAGAUAUUAGGAGGAACACCAGUGGCGAAAGCGGCUUACUGGACGGUAACUGACGUUGAGGCUCGAAAGCGUGGGGAGCAAACAGG